UAGGGCCCUGUAAAUGAGACACACGAGUACAAAAAUCUGGGGGGGGGGGACAUUUGAUAUUGUGACCCCCAUCCUUGACGCCCAUGCGUUAUGGGUACCUUCAGGAGUGAGGCCUUACACAACAUAACAGGUUGCUGGUUGCUGACUCCUGUUACAUGGCUUUUUACCAGGCCGUUUCCCUGAGGCUUCACAAAGGCUGCAAGUAACUCACGCCCUGCCUAACUAGCGAAGUUUCACACAGUUUGCAAGCAUACGACCAUUAUUUAACGUUACACUUUGCACAGGCUGCAAGUAGCUCACAGUGUACUGAGCAAAUGAGACUUUGCACAGGCUGCAAGUAGCUCACAGCAUACUGAGCGAGUGAGACUUUGCACAGGCUGCAAGUAGCUCACACCGUACUGAGCGAGUGAGACUUUGCACAGGCUGCAAGUAGCUCACAGUGUACUGAGCGAAUGAGACUUUGCACAGGCUGCAAGUAGCUCACACCGUACUGAGCAAGUGAGACUUUGCACUGGCUGCAAGUAGCUCACACCGUACUGAGCAAGUGAGACUUUGCACAGGCUGCAAGUAGCUCACACCGUACUGAGCGAGUGAGACUUUGCACAGGCUGCAAGUAGCUCACACCGUACUGAGCGAGUGAGACUUUGCACAGGCUGCAAGUAGCUCACACCGUACUGAGCGAGUGAGACUUUGCACAGGCUGCAAGUAGCUCACAGUGUACUGAGCGAAUGAAACUUUGCACAGGCUGCAAGUAGCUCACACCGUACUGAGCAAGUGAGACUUUGCACAGGCUGCAAGUAGCUCACACCGUACUGAGCAAGUGAGACUUUGCACAGGCUGCAAGUAGCUCACACCGUACUGAGCGAGUGAGACUUUGCACAGGCUGCAAGUAGCUCACACCGUACUGAGCGAGUGAGACUUUGCACAGGCUGCAAGUAGCUCACACCGUACUGAGCAAGUGAGACUUUGCACAGGCUGCAAGUAGCUCACACCGUACUGAGCGAGUGAGACUUUGCACAGGCUGCAAGUAGCUCACACCGUACUGAGCGAGUGAGACUUUGCACAGGCUGCAAGUAGCUCACACCGUACUGAGCAAGUGAGACUUUGCACAGGCUGCAAGUAGCUCCACCGUACUGAGCGAGUGAGACUUUGCACAGGCUGCAAGUAGCUCACAGUGUACUGAGCGAAUGAGACUUUGCACAGGCUGCAAGUAGCUCACACCGUACUGAGCAAGUGAGACUUUGCACAGGCUGCAAGUAGCUCACACCGUACUGAGCAAGUGAGACUUUGCACAGGCUGCAAGUAGCUCACACCGUACUGAGCGAGUGAGACUUUGCACAGGCUGCAAGUAGCUCACACCGUACUGAGCGAGUGAGACUUUGCACAGGCUGCAAGUAGCUCACACCGUACUGAGCGAGUGAGACUUUGCACAGGCUGCAAGUAGCUCACACCGUACUGAGCGAGUGAGACUUUGCACAGGCUGCAAGUAGCUCACACCGUACUGAGCGAGUGAGACUUUGCACAGGCUGCAAGUAGCUCACAGUGUACUGAGCAAAUGAGACUUUGCACAGGCUGCAAGUAGCUCACAGUGUACUGAGCAAGUGAGACUUUGCACAGGCUGCAAGUAGCUCACACCGUACUGAGCAAGUGAGACUUUGCACAGGCUGCAAGUAGCUCACAGCAUACUGAGCGAGUGAGACUUUGCAUAGGCUGCAAGUAGCUCACAGCAUACUGAGCAAAUGAGACUUUGCACAGGCUGCAACUAGCUCACACCGUACUGAGCGAAUGAGACUUUGCACAGGCUGCAAGUAGCUCACACCGUACUGAGCGAGUGAGACUUUGCACAGGCUGCAAGUAGCUCACACCGUACUGAGCGAGUGAGACUUUGCACAGGCUGCAAGUAGCUCACACCGUACUGAGCGAGUGAGACUUUGCACAGGCUGCAAAUAGCUCACACCGUACUGAGCGAGUGAGACUUUGCAUAGGCUGCAAGUAGCUCACACCGUACUGAGCGAGUGAGACUUUGCACAGGCUGCAACUAGCUCACACCGUACUGAGCGAAUGAGACUUUGCACAGGCUGCAAGUAGCUCACACCGUACUGAGCGAGUGAGACUUUGCACAGGCUGCAAGUAGCUCACAUCGUACUGAGCGAAUGAGACUUUGCACAGGCUGCAAGUAGCUCACACCGUACUGAGCAAGUGAGACUUUGCACAGGCUGCAAGUAGCUCACAGUGUACUGAGCAAAUGAGACUUUGCACAGGCUGCAAGUAGCUCACACCGUACUGAGCGAGUGAGACUUUGCACAGGCUGCAAGUAGCUCACAGCGUACUGAGCGAGUGAGACUUUGCACAGGCUGCAAGUUACUCUUUAACCAGCAGUUUCGUGAGGCACAGGGAAGUGUCCCACAAGUAGCAAGCCGCUUACCCCCUAUGUAUGCUACCAUUUAUACCGGUACCUACGCCACAAAUUACCAACCUGUCAGCGUGAUAUUUCCCUACUUAGCAAAUCCCUUGGAGCCAUUGAAUCAGCUAUUCUGAGCAUAAGAAUCAAAUGUAGGCUACAUUUCUUUAUUCAGGACGAAAAUAGAUGGGACGGGGGGGGGGGGGGGACUUGUCAGCAGAUGAGAGGACCCAAUACCUUGCCACGCCUACUGUUGCUAAUGACGUGCAUGAUCAAAUUGCAGCCAACUCUGGUCACAGGGCCUCGACUGCAUUCCUGUUUCCAAAUGCUGCCCAUAACCACAACGAACAGGCACUCCAACCAUUCACAGCACCGCUUGUUUGGCUAUAACCCACACAGGGUUUUCACUCAUGUCAAACUGAUUCCACCAUUCAGCCGACAUGCUUGGCUCCAUCUUUUACUGUCUGGACAACUCACUAGGAGCAGUUCUCAGUUAGCUUAUACCUGGUACUCAAAUUUGACGUCACAGCAUAGAGAAACGACUGGCAGCAAUUCUUGAUGCCAUAUUUCUGCCAACCGAUGGAGCUCACAAGCGUCUGAAGUCCCUUCCUUUCCAAGGGCAAAACCUCUUUGCUGGCCAGUUUCAGACUAGCAGGCAGGCUGAAGCUGAUCGUAUAAAGGCUUCGGAAAGAUCAAUUUGGCGAAGGUUUGUCCAAAACUGGGUCUUUCAACAACAAUAGCUCUUUUCCACUGUUCUGGGACUACCUGUUCAGCGAAUGAUGAAUUGAUGAUGUGUGUCAGGGGUUUAGCAAACUCGUAAGAAUCCUCACGGAUAAAUCUGGCUGGAAUGUUAUAGGGACCACAUGCCUUUGACUUCAUUAUUUUGUUCAGUUUACGGAAUACAUCCCACGGCUGAACUUCUGGAAUUGAUUGCGAUGGCAAAUAAGACGGAAGAGGUGCCCUGUCGAGUGGGUCAAUAUCAUCGCUCACUGCAAUGAAUUUCGAGCAUAUCGCUUGAGCAAUGGACUUGUGGUUUUCUGGUUCAACAUUUUCACAGCUAUUUGUCGUUUUGUUCUAGCACUGGUUGUCAUCAUGUGGAUUUCACAAAACCAGGCUGCUGGAUUGGAUCGCUUGAGGCGUUGAACUCUGAGGGUGUAGUGUCUCUCUUUGGCGAGUCUAAUCUCGCAUUUGACCUCGUUCGUAUUGCCAAAGUACUGUCUUAUGCGUAUGAAAAGCUCCCUGACAUUUCUGCACGAGUCCAAAGCUUAUAUAGCGUACACCCCAUGUGCUUAUGUCAUUUUGAAAAAAAAUUGGAGUCCAACCCCCCCCCCCCCCCCCACAUUGUUUGAAUUUACGGAGGCCGGGUGAAAAAAGAAACGUCUGCCAUUUUUGCAUGUAGGAUUUGUCUGCCUGAUUUAGGUGAACACUUUCUAGUUGAAAUUUCUCAGACAAUAAGAAUAAAUAAGACUGGAAAUAAAAAUGGGACGCUGCUUCGUAGCUGACUGUAGUCAUCACUCAGAACACAACGGAUUCUGUUAUGUUUUCUUUUCCAAUGGAUAAAAAUAAAUACACAGUGCAUAUCGCUACGUUACGUUAGUCCAGGUUUGUGUGGAUACAUCACCCCAGGCAAUGCGUGACCUUGGCGGCGUAUGACAUAAACCAGUUGUUCUACGGCAUAUAUAGGGCUGUUAACAAAACAUGUUAUUUCAUAUUUACCCCUGAUCUUUGGGCCCAUUAAAUAUUCCUAUAUACUAUAUUCCUGUUUUGAAUUGAUGAACAAAAAUUCCAUUUCUAUGUAAUUAUCAAUUGAAGUAUAAUAAACUGAUUGCCAUUUCUUUGUGCUUUCA